ACUCCUACGGGAGGCAGCAGUGGGGAAUAUUGCACAAUGGGCGCAAGCCUGAUGCAGCGACGCCGCGUGGGGGAUGAAGGCCUUCGGGUUGUAAACUCCUUUCGCUAGGGACGAAGCUUUUUUGUGACGGUACCUAGAUAAGAAGCACCGGCUAACUACGUGCCAGCAGCCGCGGUAAUACGUAGGGUGCGAGCGUUGUCCGGAAUUACUGGGCGUAAAGGGCUCGUAGGUGGUUUGUCGCGUCGUCUGUGAAAUUCUGGGGCUUAACUCCGGGCGUGCAGGCGAUACGGGCAUAACUUGAGUGCUGUAGGGGUAACUGGAAUUCCUGGUGUAGCGGUGAAAUGCGCAGAUAUCAGGAGGAACACCGAUGGCGAAGGCAGGUUACUGGGCAGUUACUGACGCUGAGGAGCGAAAGCAUGGGUAGCGAACAGGAUUAGAUACCCGGGUAGUCCCCAUGAU
rnacentral:rRNA from 1 species